CCUACGGGAGGCAGCAGUGAGGAAUAUUGGUCAAUGGGCGCGAGCCUGAACCAGCCAAGUCGCGUGAGGGAAGACGGUCCUAUGGAUUGUAAACCUCUUUUGUCGGGGAGCAAAAGACGCCACGCGUGGCGUUCCGAGAGUACCCGAAGAAAAAGCAUCGGCUAACUCCGUGCCAGCAGCCGCGGUAAUACGGAGGAUGCGAGCGUUAUCCGGAUUUAUUGGGUUUAAAGGGUGCGCAGGCGGAAGAUCAAGUCAGCGGUAAAAUUGAGAGGCUCAACCUGUUCGAGCCGUUGAAACUGGUGUUCUUGAGUGAGCGAGAGGUAUGCGGAAUGCGUGGUGUAGCGGUGAAAUGCAUAGAUAUCACGCAGAACUCCGAUUGCGAAGGCAGCAUACCGGCGCUCAACUGACGCUCAUGCACGAAAGUGUGGGUAUCGAACAGGAUUAGAUACCCUAGUAGUC
rnacentral:rRNA from 1 species